CGGUGGAGGCAUGUGGUUUAAUUCGAAGCAACGCGAAGAACCUUACCAGGCCUUGACAUGCAGAGAACUUUCCAGAGAUGGAUUGGUGCCUUCGGGAACGUCUGACACAGGUGCUGCAUGGCUGUCGUCAGCUCGUGUCGUGAGAUGUUGGGUUAAGUCCCGUAACGAGCGCAACCCUUGUCCUUAGUUACCAGCACGUUAUGGUGGGCACUCUAAGGAGACUGCCGGUGACAAACCGGAGGAAGGUGGGGAUGACGUCAAGUCCCAUCAUGGCCCUUACGGCCUGGGCUACACACGUGCUACAAUGGUCGGUACAAAGGGUUGCCAAGCCGCGAGGUGGAGCUAAUCCCAUAAAACCGAUCGUAGUCCGGAUCGCAGUCUGCAACUCGACUGCGUGAAGUCGGAAUCGCUAGUAAUCGUGAAUCAGAAUGUCACGGUGAAUACGUUCCCGGGCCUU
rnacentral:rRNA from 1 species